GCUGGCGGUAUGCUUAACACAUGCAAGUCGAACGGAAACGAUACUAGCUUGCUAGUAGGCGUCGAGUGGCGGACGGGUGAGUAACGCGUAGGAAUCUGCCUGAUAGUGGGGGAUAGCCCGGAGAAAUUCGGAUUAAUACCGCAUAAUCUAUUCGUAGUAAAGUGGGGGACUUUCGAGCCUCACGCUAUCAGAUGAGCCUGCGUAAGAUUAGCUUGUUGGUAGGGUAAAAGCCUACCAAGGCGACGAUCUUUAGCUGGUCUGAGAGGAUGAUCAGCCACAUCGGGACUGAGACACGGCCCGAACUCCUACGGGAGGCAGCAGUGGGGAAUAUUGGACAAUGGGGGCAACCCUGAUCCAGCAAUACCGCGUGUGUGAAGAAGGCCUGAGGGUUGUAAAGCACUUUCAAUUGUGAAGAAAAGUUAACGGUUAAUAACCGUUAGCCUUGACGUUAACUUUAGAAGAAGCACCGGCUAACUCCGUGCCAGCAGCCGCGGUAAUACGGAGGGUGCAAGCGUUAAUCGGAAUUACUGGGCGUAAAGCGUGCGUAGGCGGUUUAUUAAGUCAGAUGUGAAAGCCCCGGGCUUAACCUGGGAACUGCAUUUGAAACUGGUAAACUAGAGUAUGGUAGAGGAAAGUGGAAUUUCUGGUGUAGCGGUGAAAUGCGUAGAUAUCAGAAGGAACAUCAAUGGCGAAGGCAGCUUUCUGGACCAAUACUGACGCUGAGGUACGAAAGCGUGGGUAGCAAACAGGAUUAGAUACCCUGGUAGUCCACGCCGUAAACGAUGAUAACUAGCCGUUGGGGGGAUUUACCCUUUAGUGGCGAAGCUAACGCGUUAAGUUAUCCGCCUGGGGAGUACGGCCG
rnacentral:rRNA from 1 species